GGACUAGAUUUUUUGUCUGUCGUUCUUUAUGAUAGGCGCUCAAUUGAAAUAAGAAGUAGGUGGGAAUUGAAAUUGUACGGUUGCUAGCUGGUUAGUCGAUGAUUUUGAUAGUUCGGCAAAAUCAUAAAGCUUCAUCCUUUACAUUUCACUGCUUGAAACCUAUGUAUACCUCGUUAUUUAUCAUUUAACAAGCAAGUUUGUAAAGAAUAACAAGAAGGACAACGUCCUAGCUGAGUCAGCGCCACCAUCAAAUCUAACUGUUAACUGUCUCCGCCCUUAUCAUCCCUCCUCCCUUUUUAAAUCUCCGAAGCUCACUGUUUUGUAACACUGACAGUGAUACAGGGAGAGGUGCUUUUUGUUGUGAAUAAUGGACUCGUCGACGGCGUCAACGUCGGAAGAAUCGGCGGGGAAGAUAGUCGCUUCGAGAUCAUCAGUAAUUCAAUCAAGUCGAGUGUGUGGGUUAUCGGUCUUCCGAAUAAACAAAGAGGAUUUACAGAGGAAACUGUCGAUACCUAAAUAUCUGCGUCACGCAAUUCGAGACUCAAUCAGGUCAAAGGAUGUUAAUGCCGCUGUUGACCGUUGUCAAGAAGGAAGUGGUGGUGGUCGUGAGGCGGCGCCGGACGGGCCUAUGGUGGUGUUUGUGAAUUCCAAAAGUGGUGGUAGGCAUGGGCCUGAACUUAAAGAGAGGCUUCAACAAUUAAUGGGAGAGGAGCAGGUUUUUGACCUAAGCGAUGUGAAUCCCCGUGAAUUUGUCGACUAUGGUUUGGUUUGUUUAGAGAAGUUGGCUGACCUCGGUGAUUAUUGUGCCAAAGACACUCGUGACAAGUUGAGAAUUAUGGUUGCGGGAGGUGAUGGUACGGUUGGUUGGGUGUUAGGAAGUCUCACAGAGCUUCACACACAGGAUAGGAAGCCAGUUCCUCCAGUAGCGGUCAUUCCUCUUGGUACUGGAAAUGACCUGUCAAGGAGUUUUGGUUGGGGUGGUGCAUUUCCUUUUGCCUGGAAAUCAGCUGUCAAAAAAUCUCUUCUCAAGGCCAUUACAGGUCCAGUGUGCCAUUUAGAUAGUUGGCAUCUUCUAGUGUCAAUGCCGAGUGGAAAAGUGGUGGAUCCACCCCAUUCCCUGAAACCUACAGAGGAGUGUUCUCUUGAUCAGGGUUUAACAAUUGAGGGGGAGUUGCCUGAGAAAGUGAACUGCUACGAGGGAGUGUUUUAUAAUUACUUCAGCAUAGGAAUGGAUGCUCGGGUUGCCUAUGGCUUCCAUCACCUACGCAAUGAAAAACCUAACCUUGCACAAGGUCCUCUUUCAAACAAGUUGAUCUACUCUGGAUACUCUUGCACUCAGGGUUGGUUUGUCACACCUUGCACAAGUGAUCCAAGUUUGAGGGGACUCAAGAAUAUCCUCAGGAUGCAUGUUAAAAAAGUUAAUUGCACAGAAUGGGAGCAGAUACCUGUUCCUAAAAGUGUAAGAGCGAUUGUUGCUUUAAAUCUUCACAAUUAUGGGAGUGGAAGAAAUCCAUGGGGUAGUCCUAAACGACAGUAUUUGGAAAAGAAAGGUUUUGUUGAGGCCCAUGUUGAUGAUGGUCUCCUAGAGAUUUUUGGCUUAAAGCAUGGAUGGCAUGCGUCAUUCGUCAUGGUUGAACUCAUCUCCGCCAAACACAUAGCCCAGGCUGCAGCAAUACGAUUGGAAGUAAGGAGUGGAGAAUGGAAAGAUUCAUAUAUGCAGAUGGACGGCGAACCUUGGAAGCAGCCCAUGAGCAAGGAAUACUCAACAUUUGUGGAAAUUAAGAGGGUGCCUUUUCAAUCUCUCAUGGUUAAUGGAUUAUGAGAAUAGGCGUAUUGGGUUGCUUUGGUUUAGGUUUGUAUCCUUGAAGGAGGUGGCAUUUCCUCAGGGCUGAAAUCAAGGAAUACUCAACAUUUGUGGAAAUUAAGAGGGUGCCUUUUCAAUCUCUCAUGGUUAAUGGAUUAUGAGAAUAGGCGUAUUGGGUUGCUUUGGUUUAGGUUUGUAUCCUUGAAGGAGGUGGCAUUUCCUCAGGGUUGAAAUCACUGGCAAACGUGGUGUAAAUUUGUACUUUUAUUUAUGGAUAACAGUGCUAGUACAUUUGCUGUAAUUUGCAUGCCAUUGUAAGACCUGCAACGACAUCUAAAUCAUCAAGUUGCUCAGCAACUCAGUCAAAUUCUACUUGAAAUUA